UGCCAGCAGCCGCGGUAAUACAGAGAGUGCAAGCGUUAAUCGGAAUCACUGGGCGUAAAGCGCGCGUAGGUGGAUACUUAAGUCGAAUGUGAAAGACCCGAGCUUAACUUGGGAACUGCAUCCGAUACUGGGUAUCUUGAGUAUGGUAGAGGGAAGUGGAAUUUCCGGUGUAGCGGUGAAAUGCGUAGAUAUCGGAAAGAACACCAGUGGCGAAGGCGACUUCCUGGACCAAUACUGACACUGAGGUGCGAAAGCGUGGGGAGCAAACAGGAUUAGAUA
rnacentral:rRNA from 1 species